rnacentral:rRNA from 1 species
GAUGAACGCUGGCGGCGUGCCUAAUACAUGCAAGUCGAGCGAACAGACGAGGAGCUUACUCCUCUGACGUUAGCGGCGGACGGGUGAGUAACACGUGGAUAACCUACCUAUAAGACUGGUAUAACUUCGGGAAACCGGAGCUAAUACCGGAUAACAUGUUGAACCGCAUGGUUCAACAGUGAAAGACGGUCUUGCUGGCACUUCUAGAUGGAUCCGCGUCGCAUUAGCUAGUUGGUAAGGUAACGGCUUACCAAGGCAACGAUGCGUAGCCGACCUGAGAGGGUGAUCGGCCACACUGGAACUGAGACACGGUCCAGACUCCUACGGGAGGCAGCAGUAGGGAAUCUUCCGCAAAGGGCGAAAGCCUGACGGAGCAACGCCGCGUGAGUGAAGAAGGUCUUCGGAUCGUAAAACUCUGUUAUUAGGGAAGAACAAAUGUGUAAGUAACUAUGCACGUCUUGACGGUACCUAAUCAGAAAGCCACGGCUAACUACGUG